AGCAGGCUGUGGGGUCGCUCUCCGAAAGGAGAGAGGAAAGUCCGGGCUCCACAGGGCAGGGAGCUGGCGUUAAGCCAGGCAGGGGUGACCCUGCGGAUAGGACCACAGAGAAGAGACCGCCACCUAUAAGGUGGUAAGGGUGAAACGGUGGUGUAAGAGACCACCGCCUCUUUCCGCGAGGAGAGAGGGCACGGUAACCCCCUCCCGGAGCAAGGCUAAAUAGGCUGGCGUUUGAGGGUUGCCCGCCCGAUGCCAGCGGGUAAGCCGCAUAGAUAAAUGACCCCUUCAAACAGAACCCGGCUUACACGCCUGCUCC
rnacentral:RNase_P_RNA from 1 species